rnacentral:rRNA from 1 species
CCAGUCACCGAAGCUGCGGAUAUCCGUAAGGAUAUGGUAGGAGAGCGUUCUGUAAGCCUGCGAAGGUGUCUUGUAAAGGAUGCUGGAGGUAUCAGAAGUGCGAAUGCUGACAUGAGUAGCGAUAAUGAGGGUGAAAAGCCCUCACGCCGUAAGCCCAAGGUUUCCUGUUCAACGUUCAUCGGAGCAGGGUGAGUCGGCCCCUAAGGCGAGGCAGAGAUGCGUAGCUGAUGGGAAGCAGGUUAAUAUUCCUGCACCGUCGUAUGAUGCGAUGGGGGGACGGAUCGCGGAAGGUUGUCUGACUGUUGGAAUAGUCAGUUUCUGAUUCAUAGAAGGUGCUUAGGCAAAUCCGGGCACGUAAUUCAAGGGAUUGGGACGAGUGAACUUGUUCACGAAGCAAUCGGAAGUGGUUCCAAGAAAAGCCUCUAAGCUUCAGUCAUACGAGACCGUACCGCAAACCGACACAGGUGGGCGAGAUGAGUAUUCUAAGGCGCUUGAGAGAACUCGGGAGAAGGAACU